rnacentral:rRNA from 1 species
UUAAGUCUGGGGAUACCAUUUGGAAACAGAUGCUAAUACCGGAUAAAAGCUACUUUCGCAUGAAAGAAGUUUAAAAGGACGGCGUAAAGCUGUCGCUAAAGGAUGGGACCUGCGAUGCAUUAGCUAGUUGGUAAGGUAACGGCUUACCAAGGCGAUGAUGCAUAGCCGAGUUGAGAGACUGAUCGGCCACAUUGGGACUGAGACACGGCCCAAAACUCCUACGGGGAGGCAGCAGUAGGGAAUCUUCCACAAUGGACGAAAGUCUGAUGGAGCAACGCCGCGUGAGUGAAGAAGGUUUUCGGAUCGUAAAAGCUCUGUUGUUGGUGAAGAAGGAUAGAGGUAGUAACUGGCCUUUAUUUGACGGUAAUCAACCAGAAAGUCACGGCUAACUACGUGCCAGCAGCCGCGGUAAU